GACGAACGCUGGCGGCGCGCUUAACACACGCAAGUAGAACGAGUGGCGAACGGGUGAGUAAUACGUGAGUAACAUGCCCUCUUUUUGGGAUAAGCAUUGGAAACGGGGGAUAAUACCGGAUAAAGGCGGAUGGGCUAGCGGCCUAGCAGCGUGUUGGUGGGGUGAUGGCCUACCAAGGCGGUGACGGGUAGCCGGCCUGAGAGGGGGGACGGCCACAUUGGGACUGGGAUACGGCCAGGAGUCGUACGGGAGGGAGCAGUAGGGGAUAUUGCACAAGGGGCGUAAGCCUGCUGCAGCAACGCCGCGUGGGGGAUGAAAGCGUUCGGGUUGUAAACCUCUUUCGCUAUCGAACGGGUAGGUGGAGAAGAAGCGCCGGCGAACUACGUGCCAGCAGCCGCGGUAAUAC
rnacentral:rRNA from 1 species